rnacentral:rRNA from 1 species
GCCCUUUGAGUUUGAUCCUGGCUCAGAAUGAACGCUGGCGGCAUGGAUUAGGCAUGCAAGUCGAACGGUAACAGAGAAGCUUGCUUCUGCUGACGAGUGGCGAAAGGGUGAGUAACGCGUGAGCAACUUGCCUCGAGGUCGGGGAUAGCCCCGCGAAAGCGGGAUUAAUACCGAAUACGGCAGUCUUGCGUAAGUAAGAACUGCCAAAGCUGUCUUCGGAUGGCGCCUCGAGAUGGGCUCGCGUCCUAUUAGCUAGUUGGUGGGGUAAUGGCCCACCAAGGCGACGACAGGUAGGUGGUCUGAGAGGAUGGUCACCCACACUGGGACUGAGACACUGCCCAGACUCCUACGGGAGGCUGCAGUCGAGAAUCUUCCGCAAUGCGCGAAAGCGUGACGGAGCAAUGCCGCGUGAGGGAUGAAGGCUUUCGGGUCGUAAACCUCUGUCACCCGGAAAGAAGAUCUGACGGUACCGGGAGAGGAAGUCACGGCUAACUACGUGCCAGCAGCCGCGGUAAUACGUAGGUGGCGAGCGUUAUUCGGAUUUAUUGGGCGUAAAGGGUCCGUAGGGGGCUCGUUAAGAUAGGCGUGAAUCCCCGAGCUCAACUUGGGAACUGCAUUUGUGACUGGUAGACUAGAGUAUAGCAGAGGGGGGUAGAAUUCCACGUGUAGCAGUGAAAUGCGUAGAUAUGUGGAGGAAUACCGAUGGCGAAGGCAGCCCCCUGGGUUAAUACUGACGCUCAUGUACGAAAGCGUGGGUAGCGAACAGGAUUAGAUACCCUGGUAGUCCACGCCCUAAACGAUGUCAACUAGGUGUUGGGGAAGGAGACUUCUUUAGUACCGUAGCUAACGCGUGAAGUUGACCGCCUGGGGAGUACGGUCGCAAGAUUAAAACUCAAAGGAAUUGACGGGGACCCGCACAAGCGGUGGAUUAUGUGGAUUAAUUCGAUGCAACGCGAAAAACCUUACCUACCCUUGACAUGCAUGCCAAGAACUUUCCAGAGAUGGAUCGGUGCCUUCGGGAACUUGGACACAGGUGCUGCAUGGCUGUCGUCAGCUCGUGUCGUGAGAUGUUGGGUUAAGUCCCGCAACGAGCGCAACCCUUGUCAUUAAUUGCCAUCAUUUAGUUGGGCACUUUAAUGAGACUGCCGGUGACAAACCGAGGAAGGUGAGGACGACGUCAAGUCAUCAUGGCCCUUAUGGCCAGGGCAACACACGUGCUACAAUGGUAUAGAUAGUGAGAUGCAAUACUGCGAGGUGGAGCAAAUCUAUAAACUAUAUCCCAGUUCGGAUUGUUCUCUGCAACUCGAGAACAUGAAGUGUGGAAUCGCUAGUAAUCGCAAAUCAGCUAUGUUGCGGUGAAUACGUUCCCGGGUCUUGUACUCACCGCCCGUCACACCAUGGGAGUUGAAUUCACCUUAAGCCGGGAAGCUAAGAUAGCUACCGUCCACGGUGGAUUUAGUGACUGGGGUGAAGUCG